rnacentral:rRNA from 1 species
AUGCUGUCAAGAAAGUGCCUGGCUUUCUCAGAUGCUUCUCAGAUACUAUCCUCCACCAUAUCUGAAGAGCCCACUGGGAAGGUCAAUCUGAAGUUCUGGCAGGAAGGUGGUCCCAUCAAAUGCGUCCUGCAGAGCCUGAAGAAGGUGUUUUUCAACGAAUUCCAAGGGUCGAAAAGCGAGGUUGCUUUCCUCAAGUUCAUCGCGGAGAGAGGGCGGGUGCUAGAGCGGAUGGCUGUUGUGGUGGACCGUGAAUGUUUCUCUUUGGGGGGUAAUGUGAAUGCCAAACUGAAGCCUCUGAUCAGUGCAAAAUGGAACAACAAAGCUUGCAAACUAGAGCUCUUCAAGAGCCCACACGAUGACGUGGGAGGUCCAGCUUACUCCAUCGAGAAAGCUUGUGAUUUCGACUUUGCUGACCCUUUCGACCUCAACUACCACUACAAACCAGAAAGGAUGUCUGUAAGUUAA